AGGGUUGAUUGUUGAUUGGCUGAUUUUUUGAGUUAAAUCUAAAGUUUGGGUAUUUGAAAAAUAAGGAAUUGUUUGUUAUAAUUAAGGGUUUUUAUUCAGAAAUCACAGAUAGACGUUUAUGGAUGAUUAUUUGUUGUGUAUGGUGGAUUAUAUGUUGUGAUUUGGUUGCUUUUGGUGGAUUUGAAGCUGGUUUGGUCGAAGAACAGGUAGGCAAGGCCUGAUAUUGCCUAUUUGACUAUUCACAGUUCAAUAUCCCAUUUAAAUAAGUAUAUUUUGGGUGCGAUUUCAGAUAUGGAGUGAUAAUUAAUUGCCUUUGUCCAUUUCCAAGAGUACGCAAUCAAUAAUCAAGAGGGAACCUACAGGUUUCACGAAGUCUUCACAUUUUGUGUGCAAAUGACACUCUGUAGGAAGAUGGAUGCACUGAGCAUCAUAAAUGAGAAAUUGAUGAUGAUGCAAUGGGAGAUGUUUUAGACUACUUGUUUUGGGCGAUUCUUGGGAUUGAAAGAGAUCAGGAGCUCAUUACACCAGUCUUGCGUGUAACACAAAAUGAGCAAGAGACCGAGUGGUACCUUAGGGCUUCAGAGUUCACAGGAGAAGAGGCACCAACUACAUCAUAAGAUGAUGAGUCAACAUAAUCUAAUGACAAUGAACAUACUUAGUCAACAUGUCAUCCUAUUUUCCAAGCACCCUUAGCAGGGUGCAUAGUCAUAUGUCAGUUGAUCCCCCCAUUCUUUCUUAUGAACCUCUUUGUCUUGUUGAUUGUCUCUUCUGUCAAUAAAACUCUUGAUAACAUAAAGUUUUGUCGAUCUUCGUAAA